GAUGAACGCUGGCUACAGGCUUAACACAUGCAAGUCGAGGGGAAACGGCAUUGAGUGCUUGCACUGAAUGGACGUCGACCGGCGCACGGGUGAGUAACGCGUAUCCAACUUUCCCGUUACUGCGGGAUAACCUGCCGAAAGGCAGACUAAUACCGCAUGUUCUUCGAUGACGGCAUCAGAUUCGAAGCAAAGACUCGUCGGUAACGGAGGGGGAUGCGUCUGAUUAGCUUGUUGGCGGGGCAACGGCCCACCAAGGCGACGAUCAGUAGGGGUUCUGAGAGGAAGGUCCCCCACAUUGGAACUGAGACACGGUCCAAACUCCUACGGGAGGCAGUAGUGAGGAAUAUUGGUCAAUGGGCGGAAGCCUGAACCAGCCAAGUAGCGUGCAGGAGGACGGCCCUACGGGUUGUAAACUGCUUUCAUGCGGGGUUAAU
rnacentral:rRNA from 1 species